AGAGAGGGUUUUACCAUGUUGGCCAGGCUGUUCUCGAACUCUUGACUUCAUGAUCUACCCACCUCGGCCACCUUAAGUGCUGGGAUUACAUGAGUGAGCCACCACACCCAGCCUUAAGUGUCAAUCUUUUUAAGCUUUUCAAAAAUCAACCAAAAUCACUUAGCAAUCAUAAGUAUAUAUCAUUCAAAAUUGUUCCUGAUAUGUGCUGGCUGUUAGGGCAGUUUCUUUUUCCUACCUGUUGUGCGCCCUUUUACCUAUCUUUCAUCUUCUUGCUAAGUGAUAGCUACCAUCACAACACUGGCUUUCCUUGAUAGCAUAUCUUCCUGCAUAUCCAAAACUUAAGUUCACAUGAGCAGAAGUUGAUCUAAUCAAAGGUAAAUCAGAAGUUAAAAAAAAAAUAGCAGAGAGAUAAAAACAUCAAAAAUGUACAUCUUGCAAGCAGUGAUGUUGAAUUUAGGAGAAGUGUGUUCUGUUGCGAUGAAAAUCAUUUUCUAGUUUAAACUGACCAUGUAAGUUUAUAAGCAUAAUAAAAAUUUGAAGUUUUCUAUCAAAUUAAAUAUAGUGUUUGAGCUUUCUAACAUUUAAUAAUACUGUCACCAAUAAGCCUGCAAAAUAAAAUAAUGUUUGAGCCCCCAAAUCAUCAGAAAUAUGUAGACCAAACAAGUUGAGAAGAAUUGACUUUAUUUUUGUAAUUGGGCCAAGAAAAAUACUUAGGUUUUUGUUUAGUUUUGUGUAUAUUAAUCUUGAUUUUUCCCAGUGUUUUGCAUGUUUGGAGUUUUUCAUAUCAAAGGUACUGCUCUUUGUAAACAAGUGUAAGUUUACCCAGGCAGCUUCACUUACACCCUUCCCUUAUAAUCAGAUGUGAAAAUUACACCCUCCCUUUUGGAUACAUGAUAAUUACACAUUUCAACAUGCAAGGAAUUGUCUCUGUUUCAGUUGUUGGAAUGAAAAAGCUGAGACACUCAGUAAAAUAUAUUAUUAUAUUAAAGAUCAUUUCCAUAAUUGUUUUCAGGAUUUGUAAUCAAAACCAUGAUCAAGGUAGUUUUAGUUUAAAAAAAAAAAAAAAAACAUGGAAAUAAGGAGAGGAUAAAACUAAUUGCCAAAUUCCACUUGAAUGACCAUUCUUUAAUUUUAUGAAAAUGCAAUUGAGUAAAGUGCAUUAUAUUCUUUCUUUAAAAAAAAAAAACCUUCUAGUAUCUUAUUUGACAUUUUCUUUCUCCAUGUUCACUGAAUUACCUGUUUUUUCAAGUAGACCAAAAAAAAAAAAAUGCAGAAAUACAGAUUUUUGUGAUCAAGGUGAAAAAUUUAAUCAGAGGAGAGAUAUGAAGGAAUCUUUUCAAGAAAAGAUGUGUUUGUUUUUGUUGGCAGCAGUGCUUUUCAGCCAAAUAUAAUAGUUUUGUAAACUCAGGUAAGGCACCUCACUUCACAAUCAGAUUUCUGGAUUCAUCUAGAGUAUCAUUCAUAUCAUAGGUAAAAAUACAUGUCACUACGGGUAUAAAAUAAACUGAAGCCUUAAAAAUGCAGAGGUUUUGGCAAAUAGCACUAACUCAAAAAUAUCUCUUAUAUCUAAGGAGAGGGUUUAAAUCACCGAUUCCUUUUUACUUUCUUAAGCUAAGAAGAAAAGGAAGAGAGAAGGCAGCAUUGGAUGGUUGAUGUUAUGGCUUGUUGAAACAGUUUAUGGCAUAAAGAAAUAAUUCCCCAACUCUUUAGCUUUCCAAGUAUUUAAAUGUUUCUGCUCAUCCAAACACUAGCAUAGGUAAGUGAGGACACAUAUUUCAUAUAGCCCAAAUCUAUUUUUUAAAAAGAAUUCCUGCAGAUUUUUUGCUUCUAAAAAAAUACCCCAACCCAAAUUUCUAAAAAUUUUGAUUUUUGGAAUUAAAUGUUAAUACUGAUUAGCACUUACCUAUACGUCGUCUUCUAUUUUAAAAUCAUUGCAUAAUCUGGCAUUUAUAUUUAAUUUUCUAAAUCAUUUUCCCUAGAGAGCAUUCAUAUAAUUUUAGAACUUGGAAGGAACCAGGAUUUCAACUAUACUCAUCCCCAGGCUUUUCCCAUUGGGUAGAAACUGAAACAGAGCUGGCAGAACCAGGAUUUGAACCCCAGCCUUUUGACUCCAAGUCAGGGACAAGAUGCGGUUUUAAAUGUUAAUUCUUUUUUAUUGGUUUUGAUAUUGUGGCCCCAAGAUCCACUGUCUUAUUUUUGUGCUAAGUGACUCUUUACUCUGAAGGGCCAGGUUAUAAUUGCCAUGUAUGCCAAGAGUGAAGGGGGCAAGGACCAGAACGUCCAGUAUGCCCAGGUGGUGAGUUAUUAGGCUAUGGAGCUGUAAGUUCUGAACUCCAUGUUCUUUGAUUUUACUGCUCCUAUAUUUUUUGACAGUUGCUUUUUAGGUGAGGUGUUUCAUUUUCAUAAUUUCUGUACAGGCUGGGCAGAGAGUUCAGGAAAUGUUCCACAUUGUACUGACAUUCCCCUGGCAUUAAAUGGGUUCCAACUUAAGUCCUAUUCCACUAAGCCUAUUUUGGCACCAUAGAGAGAGUGAUGAGAGGGAAGAGUCAGUGGAGGAGAAGACAGGAAACUUGCCAGGAAGGAAUUGAAAGGCAUAUGCUCCUGGCUCCAUUGCCUGUGUCUGCCUUCACCACCUUUAGCUUGACAAGCAGUGGCCGUGGCAAAUAGGAAAAGUUCUGGGUGGGAAAAAUACAGAAGAAGCCAUUCCUGAUUAGGCCAUGUGUCUUUCACUAGUUUCCAUCAGAGUGGGCUGACUGAUCUGUGAAGAUCUGGGAUCAUGACUGAGUACAACAAGAAGAAUCCAAUACUUGAUUCAGGAAAUUUGGAUUCCUGGCCCGCCCAGCCUGCCUUCCAGUCUGAACAUGGCCUUGGACACAUCCUUAACCUUUCUGGGACCCACAUCCCUAAUGAUAAAAAGCAGAGAUUGGACAGAGGUUGCAAACUGGUGGCUGAUAGAUGUGUUUGAUUUGGCCCACACAGUAUUUUAAAUACAUUUGAAUUGGUUGCCAAUAUUUAAAAAUUGGGCUGUUUCACCAAAAAAAUAAAUAAAUAAAUAAAUAAAAAAUUACAGAUUUCCAACUCCCCUGGGAAUCUCAGAGGAUCUGGUGUCUCAGGCCCACAUAGCUAUAUGGAAAGAUCAUGUGGGAACAACUUUGAGUUUCAUAAGAAAAAUCAAUCAACCUCCCUCACCUGCUUGACCUGUGUAGCCAUUUGAAUGUGGGGCCCCAAUUCUCUCCCAAGACUCCUCUGAAGCUCUAGUUUUGGAAUUCCAAAUAUGAUUUGCUUCACUGUAAGAAAUAUACAUAAUCCAUAGGGGUUUCUAUGUCUAUGGCAGAAUGCUAAGGUAUUUGUCUAUACAGUCAGCAUCAGGUAAAAUUUGGAACCGUCUUAGGCCAAAUGAAUCAGCCCUGUUUAGAACAAACACUGACUUUGAAAUUUGACAAUGGGAGGCAGGAAUAGCUCAGUAAAGAUGGCCUUUGAGGUAGUUACAAGAAAGAUGGUUUGGUCACUGACUCACUGUUAUCUACACAGCAAACUGUGUAUUUUGCAAAUUAUCCAAAAGUAGAUUCUUUAAAACCCAAAGCAAAUAAUAAGGGCCCUUCAGUUAAUAUUUUUUUCUCAUCUCCCACUCUAAACUAACAUCUUUAUGAAUAUUGAGUUCAUGAACUUUUUCUGUUCAUGUAAUUGCGAACAAAUUAUAUUGGCCUGGGAACUGUUUGAUCUUCAAAAGUAAAGGAAUUACAUUGAUUUUAAAAAUUAUACUUUUAUAAACCAUAUUUCCAAAUGUAUUCACUUAAACACAAAAAAUAACAUUUGCAACUCAUGGUUAUAGAGUGUUUAAUAUUGUGCAAGGAACAUUGAGGAAAAUAUGUCAUUCAAUCUUCGCAGCAAUUGUAGGACCUAGACAGAGAAGAUGUUUAAUACAAAUGAGGAGUCUGAGACCCAGAAAGGUUGGAUGACUAUUGGAAAAUUGGCCUACUAUUACUUGCUUAAUAUGAAAAAGAGCCAGGAUUCAAAUAUACAGCUUUUGGCUUCAUAUUUAAUGUUUUCCAUGCCAUCACUAUGCUUCCAGUGUCUUAGAGUGUGUGUGUGUGUGUGUGUGUGUGUGUGUGUGUGUGCAUGUCUGUGUCUGUGUCUUACAUAAACACUGACUUUUUCUCUCUGUGUGUCAUGAACAAGAAUUGAGAGGUUAAGUGGGAAUUGUUUCAUGAAUUGAGAAUUGUUUCACUUUUUUCUAAGUCAAUGAAGAAUUCUUUUCGGUAGCUCUUCUUAAGUGAAUGCUGGAUUUUUAUUAAGGGAAGCUAACAGAUAUAUAAAGACAUCUUUAUAUAUAAAAACACAAUCCAUGGAAGCAUAUUGCAGGGGAGUUUAAGAUCAAGCUUUACAAGGAAAUAAUGAUAUAGACAAGUGGAGGAGGGGCAAAAAAAGAGUCAUAAAAUAGGCAAGUAGAGGUUUCUGGAAAAAUGAGGUGGUGGGGGAAGAGUCUAUUGUAAAAGUAAAAAGGUAGAAGGUAGAACCAUUGAAAAAAAGAAAGAAAUAUCAGAAAUAUAAAGAGAAAUAAACAGCAAGAAGACUCCACAGUAAUUUAAGAAGUGAAACCUUUUAGGACAGAGGUAGGAGAGAAAUGGGAAACACUGGAGAGGAAGUAACAAUUAGGGAGUGUGGAAGAAGAACCUCCAGGCCAGAAAUCUGAGCAAAGACUUGAGAAAGGAUGAUGGUAAAUGUGAAACAUUGAAAGGGACGUUUUAAGGGAUUCAGACAUUGAAAGGAAAGUAAAUUUUCAUCACAACACCCCAUGACAACAAGCUCAACACGCUUGGAUUAUAAGAAAGGAAAAUUAAUAUGGUUAGAAGGAAAGAAUAAAAAUUAGUAAGAGAAAUCUUUGGAUGUCAAUAGAGAAGAAGAAAAAUGAUAUUAAAAGGUGAGAAGGCAUGGGUGGAAAGUAGAAGGAGAUGAGAACCUAUGGUAGGUGGAGGUGAAAAAUGAAAUGCGUCAAGAAAGAUCAUGACUGGAGCUGCCGCACACUGCGGUGAUGUAGACAGAGAAGCUAUUCUCCAGGAAACCUGCAAAUAAAAAGAAACCUUAAGCUGUGUUGGGAGAGAACCCAGCUCAGCAAGGUGAGAGAGCAAGAGGUUACAUUCUGCAAAAAGAGAACAUGAACAGGGAGAAGGAGGGAAACAAGGGGAAAGAGAAAACAGCAAAUCAAAGUUAUGGAGCAUACAGCAUUGAAAGGAAUGAGGCAUUCUGUUGGAAUUAUUCAUUUAAGCAUAUGGGUAUUGGUGUCCCUUUUCUAAAAAUGGAUCCUCUCCCUUAUUUCCCAUUUUUCUAUAAUGCUAUUAUACUAUUUUAAUAAAUUCACAUGGAAAAGUACUUUACAAGGAUGAGCAAUUUUUUACUUUUAGAAAUGUUUCAAAAGGGGAGGUAAACUUGAUGGUUAUCUGUCUGAAGGAUGAUGCACUAUAGCGGUGUGUGAGAAUGGGGCCAGAGGUAAUCAUCAUUUUUGAAACUGUUCUUUCAACAAGUUCAUAAUUCAAGUAAAGUAACUCAUUUGCACACAUUUAUGGCAAAACACACUCUAGAUACUAAUUUACAUUGCUUAUACUGAAGAUCUCUUGAGUUUUCAAAAAGUUCGAUUUACAGAUUUUUCACAUCAAGGAUUUUUUUUCGUAGAUUCUAUUUUAUAGUCAAGUUGUCUGGACUCCUCAGUAAGUCUUUACCUUUAUACUGCGUAUACUCAUUUAUGUAGAUUAAUAUACUUUCUUGCCCUGAAUGUUCUAAAAGUGUACCACUUGGGGCUCUAGAAUUUAGACAGCUCUCUUCUCCAACUGUUUCUAGUCUACCUUUUCAAUGGAGUUAGUAUAAUGGCUUUAGUAAAACAAUUUCUAUGUUGCAGUGAAAAGAUGGGGUUAAAUGUCAUAACAGGCACAAGAAACAGGAGGAAAUGAGAAUUGUGUACUUUCAGUCACACCCUGGCCAUGUGCUGAGACCAUGUGCUCAGGCCACAUAUAGCCUGCAGCCCUCCGGAGUGGGCUGUGUAACCUGGGGCAUAUAUGACGUCAGGGCACACAAAGGAUUCAUUUACUGAAGGUGAUAGACAAUUCCUCUGCCACAAAUGCAAACAUUUUUUCAUAAGAACCCAAAGCAAUUGGUUUUCUUUAAUAAUAUACUUAAUCUUUUCCUCCUUCCUUUACUCUUCCUUUCCCCUCUUUCUCCUCUUUUCCUCUAUAAACAGUGGUCUUUGUCUGAGAUCUCCAACUCCAAGGUAUAGGUGCCUGGAAAGAAAAACAAAGUCAAUGUAUUGUGGUACUAACAAAUAAUGCUGUGAUUAUUAGAAAAAAAAAAACAGUUUGAAGCAAGAUACAAAAUUCUCAAAAGUAGCUAUCUAUAUGAAAAUCUUUGUACUUCUAGAGAGUAUGUGAAUGACUAUGUCUUUCAUCUCAUGAAAACAGAUGCUUAUAUGCAAUCAUCUUUAAAAAAAGAAACAAAAUAUCACAGUAGUGGCGAUGCCUAUUUUACAUGAGUAGGAAAACUAGCCAAAUAGCUUUGGGAACAUUUAUUAGCCUUGUCCUUUAAAAAAAAAAAAAAACCUUUAGUAUAGAGAGAAAAUAGAGAUGACAGGUAGGCGGCUAAGUAAGGUAACAGGAUGGCAGACAGCAUUCCUAUCAGAGCAGAAAGAAUUUAUAAGGGAACUGCCACUUAUAGCAUAAUACGGCUAAGUUAAGAAUUGCAAACAGAGUAGGGGCCAAGCAACAUUUGAAGAACAAUUGUCCUUAAACAUUCUUGUAAUGCUAAGUCACUCAUCUUUGUUUCCCACUUGCUUCCUAGAGUUAAGAAAAGUUCUUUCCUAACUUGGGUUGCUAUGCAGAGAUGUGAAAUUUCAUUGGCUCCAAAUGCUUUUCUGUCUAGUAGGGACUACUGGGAACCCUGCUAAUGUGCAUAUUGAUAUACCCUGUAGCUUCAGAGAUGAUGAAAGAGCAUAUUACUUAUUUCCACAACAACAAAGCUAAGAGAAAUUUGAAAGCAGCCAGCUAUUUUACCUGGGGACUUUCUCCCAGGUGACGAGGCUAUGGAACCAUGGAAUUUAAAUAUGGGGGCCGUCCUAUUUUCUAAAAAGUUUUUAUGGGGAGCCUUAAUACCACUCCCAAGCAGAAAUCAAAUCAAAUAAAAGACUAUUGCUUUCAUUUGCAUUUAUUUAGUCAACUAUGCCUAAAAUACGGAAAAGACAUUAUCAUGCUCAUUCAGAGUGUAUUUUAUUCGUUGUUUACUAGGCUGGACUGACAUUAUAUGAUUUGUGCUUUGCGGGGUCACAACAAGCUACUAGCAGGACAAUUUGCUGAAUCAAGAGGAUGAUUGUGUCUGGUGCCAGUCAGUCGCAAUUAGGACCAGGAUCAGGGAGGCCCGGGGCUUGUGCAUCGUCUUGGGCAAGCUGCAUAGAAAUCAGCUCACCUGAAACUAAUUGUCACAACAGAGACCUUAUGCAAAUGAGCCCUGGGGUUAGCGUGGGAAAAGAAAAACUGUCGCAAAGAUAGGUGACCUGCUGAGCAGGGGGUCUGUUGCUGGGGAAAUCUUUGUUCAAUGAGUUUAAAAAUGUUUUCAUUGUUCAAAAUCCACUCCCCCCCCACACACAAAAAAGUAGCAUACACACUCACUAAGAGUAUGGCAAACACACUCAUCUAAAAUUCCAAUAAAGCAGAAGCCUGCUUUGGAGAAUGCAAUAAAUUGGGAGUCUUUAUACUUUAUAAGGGCUACAGCAGGAGAAUAAUUUCCCUUUGCAAGGGCCUUUAAAGUUUAGGUGCUGCGGAUUGCAGAGUGGCCUACCUUGAAAAUUCACUUGCAAGGUCAGGCCUACUGCUAGUCUGGCAGGACCUGCAUCGCCUUUUCUCCCUGAUUUCCAGCAGUCCGCCUCCACACAGCCAUGAGGGAUGCCUGUGAACUAGACAAGAAAGGCCUAGUUUCCAAUUGAGUUUUACUGGUAUCUCAGGUAGAAGAGACGGGCCAGGAGAGUUCUCUAACACAUAGCAAAAGAAUCCGGGAAAACAAUGGCAGUUUCUUGAAUUGUGGUUUCUCAGAUACUCACAAAUUCAAAUGAAAUGUAAGCAUUGUGAAAUUCCAGGAAUGGUAACACAGCCCAAGUGGUAAUAGAUUGUAAAAAUUUAUCAAAAGAAAAGUAAAAGUUAUUUCUAAAUUAUGAUUUGCUUUGUUUGUAAAUCCCUGAAAAAAAAACAUGUAUAAGUUGGAAAUGUUGUUUGAUUUUAUUAUAGCACUCCUUUGAAAUCAUCUUUAAUAUGUUCUACUUUAGAAAACCAGAUGAAGAAAAGUUACUCAAAGGUAUUGAUAAACAUUUUGAUACCUUACUGUAACAAAAUUGCCUUUGGGUUCUUCAGUUGAUUUUUAGCUUUUCAAUCUUGUUUUCCUAAAAACAUGGGCAAAGAUAUUGAUACUUCUUAGCUUUUCACAGAAGAUUUCCCAGUGACAUAGUUGAUAAUGUAUAUUCAUACAGGAGUAUAAAUAUAAUAUCAAGGAAAUGAAAUAGAGUAUUCUAAGCUUUUGCAGUAACAGAGAGCAUAGAUAUUUUGUCAAAUGAUUUCAAAGAAAGAAUAAUUUGAAUUUAAAAAUGUAGGUGAGAGAAUAAGAAAGAAAUUUCAUUGCAUUGGCGUUGAAUACAAAUGCUAUUUUGUUUGGCAAAUUACUGGGCCUAAGAAAGUAAGUGUUUUCAUUGUGUUUCCUUUAGCGCUGGAUUGAAAUUUGGACUUCUAUCUGAUAAGCAAGCUCAGGAAUUAACUUGGUAGCCACUAUAAAACCUAAAGAAAGUUAGGCUUAGAAGAAGUGCAACUUAAUCACAAGUUAAAUUAAAACACACACACACACACACACACACACACACACAAACUCUUUUGUCCCUUCACCACUCACUGUCUGAAAUAAUUUCCACAUAUAGGAGACAUUUCACAGUGGGUACGAAGUGCUCAGCUUUCACUCAUCAAACUUUAAUCGGAACUGCAUUUUAGUUUUUGAAUAAAGAACACUUAAAAAAUUUAGAUGCAAAUUAUUUUGCAUUAUUCAUGCUCUAAGUGUCCUUGUAGAUUUAAACACUUCUGAGGCCACCUUGAUUCAAGUAAUUACCUAGGCCCUCACUGCUCCGUCAUGAAUAAGGUAUUUUGUACAAGUAAAGUAUGCACCCAAUGAGCUUUUAAAGUGGCUUUACACUGAACUUGUGUAUUGCUUCUUGUGCAUGAGUGAGCCGAACAUGCGUCGCAGUCUGUCUCAGGUGGGAAACCCUGGCUGGGCAUCCAUGGGUGACGGGAUGAAACCCGAGCGUCUCCUUCACACACAUGCUCUUCCUUUGUCUCUACCUAAGAAUGCUCCUGCCUGAUUCUAGUAGUUGUUUUAAAAAUUAAAGAAAGCAAUAGAUUCCAGGAAAAGAGACAGGGAAAGCAACAGUGAUUCCACUUAACCCUUUCAUCACCAGAAUUUAUUGGAAAUGCCCACUUUUCAGGCCGCCUCAUCUCCAUCAGCAAAGGCUUCCUUGUAAGGUAAUAAGUCUUUCUGAUUUUACAUGGUUCUGUACAUCUGUCUCCCCAUCUGUCAGCCUAGCCUCCUGAGCUAUUAGAGCUAGGUGCUACCUCCACCACAGUAUUCACACGAAAUGGAACAGGCUUCAAACUCAAAAGCAGCUGAAGAAUACUUACAAUGGAAAUGAAAGUGACCAGAGAGCAUAAAUCUGUAAGUUUAUCCACACACACAAAAAAGAGGGUUUGUAAGAGUUAAAUGUAAUUGGCUGAAGCUUAUAGCUGGCGUUUGUUACAAAGUGCCCAAGCCUUUCCUUUCCAACUCCGUAGCUUUGAAGAAUUAUAGGAAUUUUAUGAUGUGCUGUUGGAGUUAUACUGGCAGAGAUUACAGAAAAGGGGUUAAAGUUGGUUUAUGGUAGAAAAAAAUUAUGCAGAAACCAAUAAAAAUAAACACACUCAAGUAGACUAAACUUGCUGGGCUUUUAGUUUUAGUUUAACAAAGGAAGUUUAGAUGAAAGUAAAUGUUGCAGCUUUUAGAAAAUUAGUUGACACUCAUACUUGAUCAUCUUUACUACACAGCGGUAUAAUUAAUAUUUAAACAUUCUAAUAAUGCAGCUUGCUUUGCAUGCACUUUUCAGCCUCACAACAGUAUAUUUUAUCUGGAAUUGUGCUAGCAUUUUCUUGGGUAGUGCCCAUUUUCAUAGAGUUAAAUUUAAAAUAGAGUAGGACCUUAGCUCUUAUUGCCAGCAAAACAUCAAUAGGAGAGUAAACAGGUUUCAUACAUCUACCAGACAGUUUAUUAUGAGAACAAUAUUUAUUUGAGAUAAUAGAUAAUAUAUAAAUUUUGUUUCAUUGCACAAUGAAUGUUUUUAAAUGAUCAGAAUAGAUUAAGUUUGAAAGUUGCGUUUGGCUGUUGUCCACUCACUGUUCAAAACAGGAGAAUUUUGACAUGGUAAAGGCAGUGUGAAAUCAGCAAGCGAUACAUGAAAUAUGGAACCCCCAUGCCUGCCCAUUCAUUGGGGCAUCUGAUUAACAUAGUGAGGAAUGUUUAUUUUCAGUACAUAAAAUUGUAGAAUUUUGGGAGCAUCUUCUGAAUUACAAAAUCUGAAUACCCAGGAACUUAGUGAAACAAUAAAAACAUAGAGAAGUAAGCUAAUUGGGAGAAGCCUGAGCGAGUUUAUUUUCCUGUGAGAAGUUUCUUCCUGUUCCAGUCUCAGGGCUGUAGGUGGUAGGGAAAAGUUGUUUCAGGUGCUGCUCUCAGCUCAGACCCUUUGAAGAGUGCAAGGUGCCCAGUGUUCUUGAUCUUCUAGUUUGAAUGAUGAGAAAGAGCAUUCUACUUUUCCACCAUCACUUAAGUGUCCUUUGAAAUCUAAUUUGCAUGCACAUAUUUACUGCUCCUUCUUUUUAAGUGAGUAGGUGUGCUGAGCUUCAAGUCUAUUUUGAGACUCAGCCCAUGUUAACCCCUUGAGGCCCACUCCAUGAUAGGUACCGCCCUGUGGGAAUCCUGUCAUUUAGUGAAGCAUGAAGCCAUAAUAGAUCCACAGCCAUGCCACCAUUGGGGCAUCUCAUUUUGAUUAAUUCCCUGAAGCCUUUGGUGCUGUGGUUUGCACAAAUCAAAUGGUGCAAAUGAGAACUAUAAAAUUAGGCAGGUUAAAUUUCACAAGAAAAAAAAGAUAAGCAGUAGAAAAAACAUAGUGUAAAAUAUUACUACACAGGAGCAAUAUGUAAACUAAGUUCCACACUGAAGGAACCACCAGAUCUCAAGAAGUAGAUAUCAAGAAACAGUUUGCACUGGCUGUUUUAUUUCCUUAUGUCAGAAGGAAGUCAGUUUUUACAGAUCCUUGGACAUGAUCAUCUUUGUUUCUGAUAUUCAGAAACGGAACCAACAGUUUGUUGUCUGUUUAUUUCAUUGUGUUUGUUUUUGAGAAAGGGAGUUAAAUAAACUCAGUUUACAAAUAACUAACAGCCCUUGGACUAUUUAAAACCUGCUAUUGAGGUGAUAGAGAUAAGAUAAGUUGAACCCAACUGCUGUCACAUGUAUGGGUUUGACAGAUAGGUAAGUCUAAGAGUGGACAAAUUAAAAGCAUUUUUCAUAUGCUAAUCUCCACCUGCACAGGAAUAAUUUUUUUAAAGGAGGCAGCCUACUGGCAGAGUAAAUUCGAGAGCUAUCAGUAGUACAUUACUUCUAGGAAUUAUGACAUGAAAAAAUGAAAAAGUACUUCUAUGAGAAAAGUCUGCUGUGGAAUCUUAAUUCCAGAUGGGUGUCCUGACAGCAGUGUGCCAACAAUAUUGUGGAAAGAAAAAUGACACACACACACACACACACACACACACACACACACAUAUAUAUAUGGCUUUUAAACUUGAAUAAUAAUUUCUUCCAUAUGUAAUAGGUUCAAAAUUAUAUCUAAGGAGUUACCUUUUUAGUUGCGAAUAGAGAUCAAAGUGAAAACAAUAGUCUCCCUUGCUCUUCAGGUGUCAGUUACAUGUGAGCUGCAUAGUGAGUAUAAGAGACAGUCAGGGAUGUCAAUCAGAACCUACAGAUUAACCCGACGCAGUGAAAUCUGAGACGGUUUAUAACAAGUAGGUAACAGUUUCAGGCCUCUGUGAGAACGCAUAAACUAAAACUUCAUGCUGGGACAAAACAGGGCAGGACAUUUGAGGUAGAGAGUGAGAAAACCAUACUUUUAUUAUGACAAAGCCUCUCCCAUACUUGUUAAAAUGUCACUGGGUUGUUAUUAAAUGCUCACCAUUUCUCUAGGUUUUAUAUUAUUUUACAAAAAGCUUUUGGAGUUUCCUUUAAUUCUGAUAAACAUUCAAAUUUGUGCAUAAUUUCUGCACUUCAGCUUUGAAUGAUAGAAAAUUUCCUAUGCUUGUUGAGUUUCCUCUCAACUAAGAAAUUCUUAUAAUAAAUAAAAAUGUUACAUUUCUUUCUUCCAAUGUUGUCAAGUUAAUAAACCAUUACCUUAGUUUAUAAAUUUAAAAUUUACUAAUGUAUUGAAAUGAGAACAAAAAUACUCCAAGAAAAAUCUUAAACACAAAUAAUAAUGAUCGUAAUGAAUGGAUGGUGAUGAUUAUGGAUGGAAAUGAAGAUCUCAUGUAAGGUCCUAUCUCUUUUUAAUAAAGAGUCCUCAGGCUCAAGAAAUUCAGGGUUAAAGUGCCUAUGACCAGAUUAAAAUCCUCAGUUGUUACAUAGUACUCUUUUAAGACCCAUGAAUUAAGUUAUAAUCAAUGAUUACAACACUGGUAUUAUUUACUAAUGUACCCUUCUCUUUUAGGGUAGCAGAGACCGGUUUGACACCUUAGAACUCUUCAUGUGCAAGAGAAAACUGAAAUAAUACCAACAUAUUUAGACACUAGGCAAAAUGAUUUGUUUUGGCUUUACCUACAGGGAAACCUGGGCAAUGCUCAUUAGACUUUUUUAAUGGAUAAGUCUGAUACCAUGUGACCAGGUGCUAACAUGGAAAAGAGUUUGCAUCACUGACAUUCUUUGAUUGGAGAGCACAUUAGGAAGUAGAUAAGGGGACAGCAUAGGCGACCCACCUCCGGGCCAGGAGAAGAGGACACUGCCUGGAAUGUCUGCAAUGUGUUACUAUUUUUGUCACACACACCUAUGUGUAGCCAUCCAUCUGGUCUGAAUCAAUCAGCCUCAUCCCAGGGCUCUGCUCCUCUCCCAGCUGAAAUAAUACCCUUCUUUCCUCAGUGCUGUCUCUUCAAGAGGGGUGCUGCUCAGGACUGCCCAGGCAAGGCCAAUUAAGGAGGCUGUGUGUUUGCAAACAUUAACCCAGGAUUAGGCAUUGGAGAAAAUUUUCUUUAAAUUUUCUAUAAACUCUGCUUUGCUAGAAGCAGUACUUGAGAAAACUGGAUGAAUCAUUAGAGAAAUAAUUGACCCCAGAAAGCGAAAGAAUGAUGCUACAUUAUUUUGUAUACAUACAUUUUAUUUUCUAAAGAAAAUGUCCUUGCCUUGAAUUUAAACCAUGAAUUGUUCUGCUGUUAUACCCAAAGUAGAUAAAGCCAGGGUGUGAGGCAUUGGCCAUGACUUAGCCUUAAGUAUUUUCUUCAGCCACUUCACUUUGUUCCAUGCUAAGUAUUCAAUUUCCCUGCACCUUGGUAACAACUCUACCCCUCUGCUUCUGGAUAAUCUUCCUGGCAUUCUUCAUGUGCACAUCCUGUUCUCUGGCAGUCCCUUAUCCAUGCUGCCCCAUCAGAUUUCUGCAUACCUGACAGCCUCUUGCUUGCAAUUUCAGCUACUAGAUUAUUGACCUCUAUUGCUCAAACCUGCAAUCCCAGCACUUUGGGAGGCCAAGAUGGUAGGAUGGCUGGAGCCCAGGAGUUUGAGACCAGCCUGGGCAACAUAGUGGGACCCUGUCUCUACCAAAAAGAGAAUCAAGGUAUUCAUCAGUUAAGCCAGCCACGUUUUAGGACUACAUAGCACUCUUCCCACAGACGACCUCAAAACUUAAUGACAUAGGCUUUGGCAAAUUCAAUAACAUGACAUAAAACUACUCAUUUUCCCUAUCUGCCUAGUUUUCCAUCGCAGUGGGAAAUACCACCCUAUCGUGGACCUCCCAACCAGGAACCCCAUGGUUAUUUUUGUCUCACUGCUGUCUUUCUCACUCCCCACAUCCAGUCUGUUACCAACCGUUGCUACUUUUUCUUUGCCAGUGUUUCCUGAAUCCACCCCUUUCCUUUCCAUUCUCAUAGUUGUGGUCUUAGUCUAGGCUUUGGCCAUGGCCCACGGAGGCUUUUCAGCCUUCUUCCCCCUCUCUCUCCACAUUCAUGUAUCAAAUUCCAGCUUACUUUAUUUAAUAACACUGACAAAAUUUUUUUUUCUCUUGUCUGUGUUUUUGGUCCAUUCAUUCUCUUUGAGCUCCAUUGAGACUGCCAGCUGUUCUCUGGACUGGCUUCUAAUGUUCACUUUAUACAUAUCACCUCUUCAUCCAGCUACCUCCAAUUGUUCCAAUCUUUUUUCUUUCUUUUUGGAGGUAAGCUCAUCUGGCACUUCUUUUUUCAUCAUUCGCACAUUGCUUCAGAAACCCUUCUCAUGUUAUAUAUGUUCCUGAUAUCCACCCCUCAAGGGCAGAUUCUGACACUUUCUUUCAGUAGUCCUUCCUUUCCUUCCUUCCUUUCUGAUGUAGCAAAGUGUCCUUUUGUGAGCGUGUCCAGAUUCAAAACUUCCAGUUCCAUCACUUGCUACUAUGACAUUGGGCAGUUACCCAAGAGCACUGCACCUUGGCUUCCUUGUCUGUAAAAUGGAUUGUUGUGAAGAUAAAUGAGAUCAUUUAUUUAGAACACUGCUGGCACACAGUAAGCACUGUUAACAUGUUUGCUAUUAGUAUUAUUACCAUAUCUCAAAGGACAACUCCCCAGUCACACCCCACUUCAGUCACCAUGAUGAUGCUGUGUGCCAAGGACAACAUAACUGGGUUUUAAAAAAUCUGGUUCUAACAGUAGUUUAUGUCUUAGAAAUCAGGGCAAAGUUAAUUGAAGACACCUGAUAUCAAAACAGGUAAUGAUGAAGACUUUAAAUGCUUUUUGAGGAUGAUUAUAAAGAAUAUUAUGAUAAGGAUGAUGAUGAUGAUGAAGAAAACAUGGCCAAAUGCUUCUUUGGGUUAAUACUCUGCUUAUAAAGCUAAGUCUCCAGGAAACAUACAGUAUUCCUCCUGAAAUUAGUUUUUUCCCAUUACAUAGAAACAUGUUAUGCAUAAGAAAAUAUAUUGUGCAGUAUGCAUGAGAUUUAUUUUUCAGAAAGCAGAGAAAUGGUAAGAAUUUUAAGUGUUCUACAUACUUAUUUAGAUCUCACAUCAGGAGAUAAAACAAAUGAAAACUCUGACUUGUUAAUAAUUUACAUUUUAGUGGAAAAUUCAUACAAGCUGUUAAGAUACCUCUAAGACACAACACAGAAAAUGCAAAUAACUUAUAUCCACUGUGCACUGAAAAUUUGUCUGAAAAGAAAACAACAUCAAUUAAAAAAAAAAUCCAAGUGAUUUCAAGGGAAUAUUGACCAUAUUUACAGGCCUGUAAUUGUUUUUAUUAAUUUCAGAUGUCUCUUUUGAAAUAUUCAUGUAAAUGAUCUCUCCACUUAUCAGGUGUUUCUUACAGAAAGUCCACUGAGCUACCUCACUACCUAGGAGGUGGCUUACAAAUAGGGGAUUUCUUUUCAGAAAGCCACACCAUUACUUUUCUCUAACAGCUUAUGCAAAAGUUUCGUGGGGGAGGGAAAAACCCAAGCCAAAAAAAAAAAAAAGAGAGAGAGAAAGAGAGAGAGAGAGAGAAAAGUGUGCAUGACAAUAACUACCUCUGUCCCUUAGGUUUUUGUUCUUUUCAUGUCAUGGAACUUUUUAGCUGUGCUGCCUGGGUAACUGCUCUGGAAGGUUGGAAUAUCUGUUGUUGAAGGAGGUUUGUGAUUGAGGGCCCUCUGACACAACCUUUUGUUGCAUUGAGGUGUUUGAUCCUCUUUCCCUUUCUUCUAAAACCAAUCCCAUCCCUUUAAAAAAUGGAUAACCAGCACUUCUUUUACUUAUUGUCAGCUUUUGGAAAGUUACUCUGGGGGUUUGUAGAAGUUUAACUAGUUAACUCUUUGCAUGCUGAUGUCCUGUCGCUGAAUAUUCUUCUUUCUAAGCAGGAAGGAUUUUAAUCGCUUAUAUCAGGUAACUACUGCUGUUAUGCAGGCAUAGCAAGUGAAACAUAUUAAGGUCCAGAAAUAAAGUGUUUGUGUUCAAGGUCUUGAAAUGUGAGAGUGAUUGAGGCUUUGCAAUGAGACACGUUCUUAUUUUCUUUUUGUCCUAGAACCGAAACGUGAGAGUUAUGACUCUGCCAUUUGAAAAAAUACGAUGAUAUACUAAUUUUUCGUUGAAGAACAACAGGCUUUGGUACUAAGUAAAUGCAAAGGGUUACUUCAGUUCUGGGGUAUAUAACUAAAUGGUGACAAAGAAAGAGAGCCUUACAAUGAAAAGUGUAGGGGUCUUGUUGCAGUCUGCUGACUAAAUGCUGGAAUAUUUUUUCCCCAAAGAAGGGACACAACCCAGGCUCUAGGAAAGAAAAGAAGCUUAAGUGGAUUAUUUAACAAAAAAGCAACUUAUGGCUUCUAGAUACUGACCUACAUUCUGCACACAAUAAUGAUGUUUUACGGUGGUGAUAGGGUUAAUAACCUAACAUCAUUCAUGUAGUGUUUUUUGAAAAUUGAAUUUUACUGCUACAAAGUAAAUGUAACAGCCCUCUGGAGACAAUAUUACAGGCACUUUAUUGUUUGCUAAGCUGAUGUCAUCUUUCUACAGACUGACUUUAAAACAAAGGCAGAACAUUUAUUACAAAUAUCACUGUGUGAAAGGAAAUCUACUGAAAUAUUGUUUAGAAGGUGAGCUGAUAAAAAAGUAUUAAUACUUGGCUUUGAUCAUCUUACACUGUAAAGUUAUGACUUCAAAAUGCUUCUCAUGUGAUCUCUAUUCAAGGCAAACUUCAUCCUGGCAAUUUCUACCCAUGUCUCCAACAUCAUUUGCCCUCAAGUUGAGAUAUUUGUUUAAGCUUCAUGCAUGUUUUAAAUACAUUUUUACUCUCUAAGGCAAUUUCUUAACAGAGUUGAUGAGUUUUUGAGAGAGAGAGAUUAAAUAGCAUCUUUCAGAGAUAAUAUAUGUAUGAUUUUAAAAACAAAGUAUGGAGAUUAAGCUGUUUAGUUUAUAUAAUGAACUUUCAAAAUCACCUGUAAGUGGUGACUGCAAAGUUUGCAAUUUAAAUAAGCUGUUUCAGGCACUGCCAAGCAAGCAUUCUGCAUCACAGGUUGCUUGCAACUCAGAGGGUUUGGUCUCUGUUAUCUGAUGCACGUGUAAUACAGCGUGAAGUUGUUUGUGGAUCACACAGGAGCUUCUUAGAGUUUCAUUUCCACACUGUAACCCUUGAAAAUGUAUCAAAUGAGCAGACGCGCUUGGCUCUUCCUUACAAGGCACAAGUAAUUUGUUUGUAAAUCAGUUACCUUUCAAGAAAAGUUAAAUUAGGGGCAACUCUUGUUUCUUUGAUGUUUUCCCUCUUAGAAAGCCAAAGAGCAAAUUAAUGAUCAUUUUGAAGUAAUAAUGAUAAUGAGGAAAAUAUAAUUUAGUGAGCUACACUAUCCCAAAAUAACUUUUUCAGGUACAGCAUAUAAAUAACAGCCCAAAGGACUGAAGUAGCCUGAUGGUGUUUUUCUAAGAAAAUGAUUUACGGCUCUGCCUUUGUCUCUGAAGUCUGGUUAGAAGGAAAACACAGGUCAAGGAAAUUGGGUUAGGGGGAAAAAGGCCUGUUAUGGGCUAGGUGUAGAAUUGUAUGAAUAGUGACUAAUUGGGAGUCUGUAGCACUCAGAUCAGUGUGUGCAAGGCUCAGUACUGGCUGAUGGUAUUUAUAUCAGUCAAAAAAAUGAAGGUGGAUACAUCUUCGUGUGCUCUGUGAAGGCAGUGUGUUAGUUGGUGAAUUGGCCAUGCCCAGCAGAAAGCUACCAGUAGUCCUAUGAUUGUGAUUAAACCAGGAGCUGAACUGCAAUGUUUUAAAAACUUAUGUUGCUAAUAAGCAUACUUCUGCAUAGAAAAAUCAUUUUAAAAAAAACAACUAUUUGAAACAUUUUACUGUAAGUCUGUCUUUGAUUUCUUUGGGAAGCUAUUUUAUAUUCACUCAAUUCAUUAUUGUAUUUGACAAAUAUUAGCUACUUACCAUGUGCCAGCACCAAAGGUUCAAAGGUGAGUUCUCACAGAGCCUUACAGAUACUUCAGAAAGAACUACUUUGCAAGGUUCAGAGUGUGACACAUUGUGAGUAUUCAAGAAACAUUUGUUGAGUGACUGAUAGAAUGAAUCAAGGGAUGAUCAAGGUAGGUCCUUGAUUUGUUAUGGACAAGGAGGAACUGAGAGUUUCUCUGCUUGAACAGGUCAGUAAAACUGUAAGAAAGGACAUGCUUAAGCUGGCCUUUAAAAAAACACCUGAGUGGCAUGUAGCAUGUGAAUAUGAACAGAAAUGGGCCACUGGUAGUAGAAACAGCAUCCCAGAAUAUGGUCUGAGUUUUAGCAGCACAGUCCAUUUCUGACUCCUGCACUCCUCAAAGCCACUUUAAGAAUUUGGUCUUUGCUCUUCUCUCCCCAGCCCAUUGUACUGUAAUACACACAUGCAUUCAUGUGCGUUUACACACACACACACACACACACACACACACACACGUGCUCACUCCGUCAUUGAAAUUCGAGUGUCCACCUCCUCAAGAAUCAAAGCAUCUCCUAAAAGAAAAGAAAUGGCAUGCCCAUUCCUCACUUUUGUCCAUAAAACUCACAUUUGAGAGGUCUACAAUGAGACCUCAUUUUUUGGACAAAACAUUGUUCUUAAGCAUCAGACACAAAAGAAAAAAAGGAAAGAGGAGCAGGUAAUAUUUAAACCACCACUAUUCUUAUAAUGAAAGGAUUUUUCAAAUAUCAAGAUGAACUUAUUUUAUCAAAUUAUUAAAGUUACUUUUGUCUCCAACUUAGCAACAAGUCAUAGAUGGGACACUCAAAACAGGCCAAUGUGGGACAGUUCCAACUGUAUGAGGCCUUGUGUCAUUACCUCCAUAAAUGGAAUCGAGCUUUCCUUCUUCUGCAGCUAUCCAUUUCCUUGCUUUUGAUUACCCACUCUGCGUUCUCUGUUCUCUCCCGGCAGGCCUUUCCUCUCUCCUCUAGCUAGCCACUCUAUAGGCAGAUGUGCCUCCUUUUCCAUUUGCCAGAUCCUCCUACCCAGAUCUUCCAAACUACUUCCCUUUGAAGUCUCUAUUACCAAUACAAUCACUUUUGUUUCCCUUCCAUCCCCUCUCUCACCGCUCCAGUUUCCUCUCUCCCUAACCCCAUUAGUUACAUCUGCUGCCCCUACCAUUCAGCCUGUGUUAAAUCGUAAUGCGCUUGACAUAACUUUAGUUUGUCUGCUAAGUACUCAAUCAGCACGCAGUGCUAUCUUCCGAUUUGUAGGAAAGGGGGCAAGACUGAGUAAGCUGACUCAAAAUUCUCUGAGUGAUUCAGCUCUGCCCAAUUAGCACAACCAAAGUGGGAAAUUGACAACUAAUAAUAAUGAAAGAAAUGGGUUUUAGUUGUGAAUAUAAAUCCCAAAGACUUGGUUUCUGCUGCCUGGGGUAGUUACUGUAUGCUUCAUAUGGUGGUCAGAUGGCUCAGAGAAUGCAGAGGUAGAUGAAUGAAGGGGAGUGUGUCAAUAACUGUAAUAUUUAUUAGUUGACUGGGAUUCUUUCCCUGGAAUUCAUUAAUGGAUUUUUUUUAAAGAAUCUGCAAACCACCAGAAAUUGCGUGUAACAUUUAAUACAUUGAUGCAUUUUUCCUGGGUUGUGGGUCCAUACGUUUAAGCAGAUUCUUAAAAGGCUCUAUGUCUCCCCAGUAUCCCACCUCACCAAAAAAAGGUUAAGAAUCAUUGCUCUAAGUGAAGACACCUAUUUGGUCUAUGUUUCCAUGUGGUUGGCGUUUUUUUUCCCCCGGCCCAUUUUAACAUUCCAGAGCAGUUCAGAGCAGUUCAGAGAGUAGAAGCAUAGGGUUUUAAAAGCAAAAUUUACCUUCUUUAAGAGGAAAAAUGUUUAAACCACCUACCAGGUUAUACAAUUCGCAUUUUAAAAAUUAUUUUAGUUUUACCACAAUUCAAAGACAGGUCUUUUUUUUUUUUUUUUUUUUUUAACAAUGGGUAUAAUCACACAUCUGAACAUAAGAAUUAGUUUUAUGCAGUUCCAUAGAAAACCAAAAUCUUGAGGAACACUUUCAAAACAACCAGAGAAAAAUAAACCAUUCCUUAUGUCAGUCUUGUUAGGGAGGGAUUAAGAAACUGGCAAUUAUUUUGGCGACCUUAAUUGUUGCGCGGCAGGAAAAUAUGUAAUUAGAGCACGUUCCCAGGCCUGCACACCUGCAGCACAUCCUACAGCAUAAUGUCAGCUUUCAGUGCCCGUCGGUGCCAGGUUCUAGCACAACCAGUCACAGUGACACUCUGAGAACAUUUCGGACUCAUGUAAUGUGGCUUCUGUGUAUGAAAGAAGCAGGCAUUUACACUACCACACAAUGGAGUGCAUUGCUGCAACACUGGUUUCAUUAUUUUCUGACGCCUACCUUCAGCACUGCCCUGGUUUACUCCGUUUGAGGUUUUAUUGUUACGGUAUAAUAGUCCUGUACAUUUUUGAAAUUCCCUUAUUAUUCAGCUUAUUAAUACAGUACUGACUUGAUUAUCAGGCUGCAGUUGCACAGCAGAGGAUUCAGUGCAUUAGCUAAGUCAGAAGCUGAGUAAAUUCUUGGUAUAAUGAGAACAAUUGUUUGACAUUUUUUUAUGUAGAAAGAUGGGCCAUGGUAGUUCUCUAUAUAGUUGCAUUUUGGAAUUCACUCUAUAUUCCCUAUAUGUUGUUGAGUAUUCGUUUUUCAUAUAAAGAAAGCUUAAAAUGUGUUCUCACUAAUUUGAAAGUGUUUCAGGGUAUGGGAGGACUCCAUCAUGAUUCUCAUUAGCUUUUUUCUUCUUUUUCUUUUAUUGGCUUUCUCAACAAAAAGAAACUCUGAUGUUAGAAAAAGUAGUGAAAAUGAAGAAACGGCAUGCACGAAGCCUGUUUUUCAGAUAAUUCCAUCAUCUGGCAUAGUGAUAGUUAACAGACUUUCCCCCCCUAAGGGAGAUACACUGUAUUUUGCUAUCUGACAUGUUGUCAUAUAUAAAGAAAUCAAUUGGUAAUUAAAUGAUGCACCUUGUGAAGAUGACAAAAGGCAUUUGGUUGCGAAAAGAGAACUGGGUUUUGAGGGGUUUGUAAUGAAGGCCUAAUGACUAUUCAUAAGAGAUUUUCAGUCCGUUGAUCCACUUGACUGGAAAGUUCUGCCCUGGAGAGUUAGUGCUGUCAGUUUCUCUCACCUCAGAAAGCCGCCGCAAUCGACGGUGUAGAGGAUGAGCGAGAAAUUAUCUAGUAGUUGCUCUAGGCCUGUCUUAGGUCACGUGCAGAAGGCACAUCUGGCUUCCUGUAGGUACAACCUCAGGACAUAAACUUCGACUAAUUUUUAAACUAUAAAUAUGUACGAGUGACACUGAAUAAGUUACCUUUUAUUCAUAUUUCCUUUAUUUUAGAACGCAUGCAAGUGGUGCGGUAAGCUGCCAUUUUGGCCUUAUUUUUCUUCCAAUUUUAACUGCUACACAUUUGCUUGUUAAGCUAAGAGUGACUGUUUAUGAAAGUUGUCAAGGACCAAAUGAUAACAGUCUCCUUCUGUGAAGUCCGACAACUGUACCUUUGCAGAGAAUAUGCCAAAGUUGUCCUGCAGGAAGGUCAGCUGAGACAAAUACAGAGUAUAUAUAUGAUUGUGUAGCACUCCUGGUGGGUGUUUAUUGCCCUAUUUGGCAAAAGGCAGUAAGAUAUCAAAAUGUGCAUACAUAGGACUGGAUGCAAGGCUGCUAUCACAUCAAGACGAUCUCUAGAACUGCAGGACAUUGUCCCUCUAGUGUCUCCAUCAACACAAUAACAAAAACUGCGAUGAAAAUUCAUGCAUUCAAAACAGAGCAGUUACUGUCCACCGUGGGCCAGACACUGUCCUAGCUUCGGAGGAGACAAAGAUGAGGGAAGCAAAACCUCAGUCCUUAUAAUUUACUGAGAAACAGACAAACAAGAAAACAGUUACACUACAACAUGGAAAGAGUUAUGGUUGAGUUGCGUAAUAGCCCAGAGUCUUAGAAUCCGGGAAAGGGUUUUCUGAGAACCAUUAGGGUGCCUAAGCUAGGUAAAGAUUUCUUACACGAGUUACUCUUUCCAUUGUCAGAGCCAAAUGAGCUGGCGAAAAGGUGAGUUGGACAAGUGAGUGUCUCUGUUGUAUGUGGAAUCUGUACAGAACAGUAGUGGCCAGCAGUUCCCGUACAUAUUUACUUUUGGAAAGUGCUUCUCCAUGUUAUCUUAUCAAGAAGCUCACCUAAUCAAAGGUAAACACAUUUCUCGCCUCAUUAAGGCUUGUUUUAUGGCCACUUCGAUGUUGUGUUUGAGGUGGAACUAUCUGUCACAGUCCUUGUCUAGAAUGUAUGUAAAAGAAAUUUCAUGGAAACUGAGGAGGUUUUAAUCUCUCAAUAUCAAAAUAAUUUAAUGCAUAACAUAUAUCUGAGAAGAUGUCACUGAUGAUUUCUACUUGUGUAUUGUGUUUACCGAGUUUUGCUGACACAUUUGCUAGGGCUGUCAAGGUGGACCAAAUGAAUGGACAGAUGCCAAAAAAACAAUUAUGCUUAUUAAUGUACAUUGAUUGCUUGUUUAGGUUAUAAAACAAAUUAAAAAAUACAUUAGUAUUUAAACCCUUUUAUAGCUGAGCUAAUGAUUGCUUGUAAUAUAGUGUCUACUAAAGAAUAUUCUAUAAUACCUGUAAAGCCCAGCUAUGUUAUCUAAUUAGUAGACUUUGAUUUAAGUGGCUAUAAUUAUGGAAUUGAAUAGUUGCCUUUCUAAAUAAUCAAAUGGUAGAUUUAAAUAUAUAAAGAUGUUGACUUGAUUAUUUAAUAUUUGUUGCAAAGACAAACCACCUAAAUAGAGAGAUUAAUUCCACAUCAGUGCAACAUUAAAAGGGAGAGAGGAUGCCAAGAAUCCCAUUAAUUUGGGAUAUAAGUGUCUGAAAUUUCCUCAAAACAUUUACACCAAGGAAUACCAACAAGACAAUAUCAAGCAGCUUUCCCUAAGGAUAGAGAGGUAAGGCAAACAUGAUUUUAAACUGCACAAUAUCACACAAUAAAAUUAAGGACAGUGUGUUCCACCAGAUCAGCAAUUUAUUGAGCUACAAGGUUCUAGACUAAAUAAGCGUUUUGUAUAUACAUGAGCUCCAUGACCUCUUUCCCCAUGAAGACUUCCCUGAGCCUCAGUAUCCACUCUUUCCUUUACCAUGAAUCCAUGUUUUCCCUCCCUCCCUCCCUCCCCCGCUUCCUUCCUUCCUUCCUUCUUUUGAGACAGGGUCUCACUCUGGCACCCAGGCUGCAGUGCGAUGGCAUGAUUAUGAUUCACUGAAACCUUGAUCUACCAGGCUCAAGCCAUCCUCCUGCAUUAGCGUCCCAAGCAGCUUGGACCGCAUGUGUGCACCACCAUGCCCAGCUAAUUAUUUUUAUUUUUUGUAGAGACAGGGUUUCACUAGGUCACCCAAACUGGUCUUAAAUUCCUGAGCUCAAGCGAUCCUCACACCUCAGCCUCCCAAAGUGCUGGGAUUACAGUGUGAGCCACUGCACCCAGCCCAUGUUUUCAAUAACGAUGGUGCUACUUGAAACCAUGGCAUGUCACAUGUAUAUUAUUUUAUUUCACCAGGUGUUUAAGUGAGAUAACCCUGGUGCCAAGAAAGCUUCAAUAUUUGCUUAAAUGGCCAAUGUGACAGAGAAGAGGUAACCUUUUUUUUUUCCUCUUAUGAUUUACUUUGGCUAUUACUUUUGAAACACACAUGUUAUAUUCCCCAAUUAUAUCUCAUUGCAUCCUUCACAGGCUGUCCAAGAAUUUCCAUACUUCUAACAAAAACCUCGGUUGACUGGGUUUAUAUAGUUUUUCCGUUCCUGGCCCUAUUUCUUUCAAGGCCUUUGAGUCAGAAGCAUUCAGGGCUGUGUAUGAUAGCCACCAUUCGCUUUGCCCUUUUAACUUUUGGGAGUUACUUCUGUCCAUAGUACAACUGCUCAGAAGGGUUUUUUCACAAAUUGUUUACCAUGGCAGUUGCUACCCUAUUGGGCUUUGCAUUCAGAACACAUAAGCAGAGAGCAAUGGUGUCAGUCUAACAAAUAAUGUGUACAAUUUUUUAAAAUGCUGAAUUUACCAAAUCCCCAUAUUAUGUUUUCACACUGCUCUUUCAGAAACUGUGCUAAUACAAUACUCCUGUAAACCGAUCUUAGUCCUGGCAGGCCCUGUUGGAACUAAUGGGGCCUGACAGUUCUUCAGUUAAAAAUUAUACAUGAGGGUCACUUUCCCUCAAAUUAUCUAUUGUAUGCCAGCUGUUCACAACUGCACUGCUUCACUUUCUUUGCAGUGCUAGAAAUGUCUAAUUUUCUCAUAAUAUCCAUAGCAACUAUUCUCAUGGAGGGCAUUGAAGUUAGUAAGACUUCAAACACACCUUCACAGAAAUCAUGCUAGAGUUGCAUUUUCCAUUUUCUUUAAUUUUAUUUUUUUGGUUGUGAAAAAUGUUUAGAUGGCUCAUUUUGCCGGUUUCAUGCCACAGCACUUGAGUUAUAUCAUAAUUUCUCAUUUGCUGCACAACUUUAUUCUAUUUUUAUGCUCCUAAAUGACGCAGCUCUAAGUACCAGUGAGUGGCACUUCCGUGCUGUGAGUGCUAUCAAAGGCAACCUCAGACAGAUAAAACUCCUGGGUUUUUUGUUUUCUUUUUUUUUUGUUUUUUUUUUUUGUUUGUUUUUUUUGGUGGGGAGGGGAGAAGCGGAGUCAUCACCAAGGGCCUUCUUUUGUUUUUCAGGCACAUUAAAACUAUAUAACCAACAGAACCAUUUAAAAGGAAGAAAAACAUCACUCAAAUUCCGUGUCUGAAUGAGGGCUCUCUUCUCAAAUGCUCCUCAUUACUCCAGAGCAGUUAUCUUUGGAUUAUAAUUAAAAUGAGGCGCUGUUUUUUUUCUUUUAUGCUUCUUUUUUCCCAGAAUGCCUCAAGUGAAGCAUGCCUCCCAAAGUUAUUACACCUCUUUACCAAUAAGUGCUGGGGUUUUAAUAAGCCUGUCCCCACUCCUUACCCUAUACAGAUGAACGGAUGGCAAAGAGUGGAUGUGGUACAAAGGUUACAGAUUCAGUGAUAUUUUCUGCUUUUAUUGGUAAAAGUUGGGAGGUGGGUGGAGGAUUUCCUUUAAUUAUGAAAUAAGUGUGAUGCUAGUAGUUAUUUCUGUAACCUGGUGAAAAUGCUGCAUAUUUCAGGCCUAAUUUUUAGCAUAUGUUACCAUGUGUAUAAUAAAACGGUGAUCUGUGCUCUCUGAAUCUUUUGGCUGUUAAGGAGCACUCUGAUUAUAACUAGUUGCUCUAGAAACCUGGUCAUCCAGAUGCUUAUCAAGAAUGCAUUAUUAUUUUUUAAACCUUGGUGGAGAAGCCACAGACUGCCGCACUUGGACAAGGUCACAUAUCAGUGGAAGCGACAAGUCUUUCCCCUUUCCAUUGUGUGAUCCUCCGGGGCUUGGGGGCAUUAAUAUGCAACGGUUCUGUUUUUCUUUCAGAAGGACUUGUAAACUCUUUAAACAGAGGCACACAGUUGCAAUUGUUGCGGUACUGAGUGGGUGUAUAGAAGCUAGGGCUGCAGCCUUGUCCAGUUGCAGAUAGAAUAAAACUGACAAUGAUGCAAUGGGCCUGGCAUGUAGACAACUCUGUGGGAUGGAUGAAUGGUGCGUCUCUCGCUGUCCCUCCGGUGGUGGUAGGCUCUGUAAUAGCUAGCGUAGGAAGGGUGGUGAAAAUUGAUAUGCACUAUUACUACAUGUAUAAAAUUUAACACUGGGGCCAUUGCACAGGUGGGGGGUUCCUGUUUAUUGAUUUUUAUGACUUUGUUAGAACAUGCACUUAAUGCUUUUAUACUCCAGGAGCUCUGGGAGGGCUCACCUUAGGUAAUAAACCUUUCCGUACUUUGCAAUCGCUCACAAUUUACAUGGGGACUCGCAUUAUCCAGUACAAAGCCCAGCAUCCCCCUUCUAUUUGGUUUUAGGAGUCUGAUACAAAAAAAAAAAAAAAAAGGCAAAGAAAAUAACUAUAGCACUUACUUUGAAUUUUUUAAAAACCUGUCCACUCCUGCUAGGAAAAUGGCCCCUAAUUCUAAUUACUCAUAUUUUCAAGAAAAAUUAGUCACACAAACUUAUGUUAUGUGUUGUCUCAGAGGUUGAAAGCAAAUCAGGUUUCCAAUAAGACAGUACAUCAAACAAAGUAGCAUGUUCUUGAUGCCGAUGACUUUUUUUUAGAAUUAUGGUUGGACAUUUUUGGCAGACAGAUUGUCUUUUGCUCUAUCAAAAUGACAGUUUCUUUUGUAACUGCAACAUUCAUAAUUAGAAGGAGAGAAGCAAUCUGCCCAAUUUAAUAUACUAAAAGAAGUUUAGAGUCUCUGCUAGUAAUUUCAUUAUUUUUAAAUUUGAAUUAAUUGACUUAAAAUAAUACAGUUAAGAAGUAUAACCAGCAGGAUUAUGGAGAGAGGUUUCUUUUUCUUUAAAAAACAGUGCUCUCAGUAUUAUACUUAAGAUGAGAUUGAAAUUUUCUUUUUGCGCCAGGUGCCCCAUUCUAAGAUUCAGAGCAGGAAUGUGAAUAUUCAUCCUUGCAAUGGAGCUGAGAGUAGUUGUAGGGCAAAUCCUGGGAACAAGGUCACUUUAAACAAAAAGUUCUCCAAGUUUCCCAUGCUUCUGAGGCUGGCUGGGCUUAAUUAAAGUCAAUGGAUGACCAAAAAUAAAUAAAUAAAUGGAAAAGAGAGAGAAAGAAAAGAAAAUGAAAGAACAACCACCCACCCCACAUCAGUCUCUUUCUAGGCUUAGUUGACAUUGCAUACCUUAGCUGUUGAUGUUCCAACUCUUUACAUAGAGCAAGAAUAAUAUUUCUUAAAUCCCUUAACAACACUGAUGUGUCCAUGCUUUAAUCAGUCUUCUCCAUUCCACAUCUCUAACCUUCGUCACUUAGGUGGCUCUCACCCACACCGCCACAACAAAAACAAAGCCAGAAUUGCAUUCAGAAUGAAAUCAUCAUAACAUAGCAACCUUGCUCAGGAUGUGACCUUCGGGUUUGAGCAACUCUGUUUUAUGCAGUCCUGGCCAACCUUAACCUUUCCUCUUGGCUCAGAGGGUACUCUUUCUUCAUGUUUUCUUCGGGAUCUCUCCUUACAGGACCCAGUAUGUUGCAUGCCUAUGAUACACAAGGCCAAAAGUUUCGGAGUGUUAAAAUCUACGAGCCUGUUUUCCUCUAUGAGAGAAUGAAGCCUGAACUCAUUUUAAAGAAUACAUACGUAGCAAGAUCUCUUUUUACCCUUCCUGUAUAAUUUUGGUCAUGCUCAACUGUAAAGGAAACCAGUUCUUUUUCACUGUUACCUUAUUUUGUACCUUAGCUGAUUGUCAUCUUUACAUGAGCGUCAGAUAUGAAUGUGACAAAGAUUUUUUAAAAAUAAUAACAACCAGUGCUUUACGAGUUGUUAAGUGUUUUUCUCUCCCACAAUAAAUUACAACACAAAGUGCCCUAUGUAUUUUUUUGGUAUGUUGAUAAGACAGCAGGAAAUUUUUUAACCCUCAAAACUUUCUGAUUAUACGCUGUGUUCUAAAUUUACACAGGCAAUGUUCCAAGUCCCACACUCCUUUACAAGUAUAUCAUUACAGACCAGCAAGUGAGAAGGUAAAUUUCCCCAUGGCAGUUCUGAAAUCUGACUUCAGGCUAAGAAGUCAUGGACUCAGAGGGCUGAUUGUACUGGACACCUACAUUUCAAAAUAUCUUCUAGUAUUUUAGUAGUUCCUUCUGUCCUUUUUGCAGUCCUGUGUCCUACAGAAGUGACACUGUGUUUCCUUUUUAUUUAUCUUACUCUACUUAGUUGUGUAUCAAAAGAUAUACACAUUUAUAUAACCCAAGGAGCCAGGGAUUAAAGCACAAUAUUUCUUAACACAAGCUUCCUCUAAGAUCUCCAAUAGCUACCUAAUGCUUAAAGCUUGGGCUGACAUGGGUUAUAAGGUUACAUUAGCUUUAUAGAUAUUUCUGUUUGUGUAUAUGCUAUGUUUAUAUAUGUAAUACAUAUAUGUGUGGCUUACGGCUAUGUUGACAUGCUAUUUUCUAUGUGUUCAUUUAUUAUAAACAGCAGGCAAGCGGACGUUUCACCUCACACCUCACUCUUGUCUCUCUCAUUCAAAAAAUAUUGCAAGAUUUCCAUUCUAAAUUAAAUACAUCCGAGGUUAUGUCUUUUAUCAAUUCUUGAUUCUUGGUAUCUCAAAAUUCUGGUCUUCUUCCUUUGUCUCAAAAAGGGAAACUGCUGAAAGCAUUUCCACCUGGAUGUUUAAAUUAUUUAAGUUGCAGGAACCAGACCUUUUCCCUCCUGAGUAGUUGUGGGUUUUAAAGGCUAAAAUUGCUUCAUCAUGCCAAAGUGAAAGUAUGCAUAAAUUAUUUAGUUAAACCUGAGAAAAUACAGACUUUUCCCAGUGAUCUUUCAAGGGCUGCCUACUUAAAUUUCAGAAGAAUGGGCAAGAUUUUUUUUUUCAUUCUCCUGGAAAAUUGAAGCAUCUGCUGUGUCUUCUAUCAGUUAGAAUGUGAACAAAAUUACAAAAUGAUAAUUUUUUUAAAGUCCAAGCUUCAUAAUAUCCAAUAUAUUUAUAUCAUUCCAAGGUGAAUACUGUGGUAAUCAAUCAAUACCAGGAAGACUCCUCCAGCUGGUGAGAAUUGCAAACCCUCUCUCAAUGUAUUCUUAUGAAAAUCAGGCAACUUGUUAUAGGUCUCUCCCUGAUGCCAAGCUAAAGACUGGGGAGCAUUUCCGAUUAAAUUUCUAGUCAUCCAGAGUUUGUACUUCAGUUAUAAAAGUAGAAAGUAAGGUAAUUUUUAGAUGUUAUGAAAACUUUAUUGACAUUUUUAAUUUGCUUUUUUUCUUUACCUUUACUCCAGUAAAUAACAUACCAGAAAAGUGUGAAUUUGUGUGGUGGUGGUGGUUGGGGUGUGUGUGUGUGUGUGUGUGUGUGUGUGUGUGUGUGUGUGUGUGUGUGUGUGUGUGUAACACAGAUAAUGUUAAAGUAGCAAUGAAAAGAGCCCAGAAGUAUAGGCAAUAGAGGGCCAAUUUCAAGUUUUUGUAGCGUAAGGCAUUCGGUUUCCCAUGUAUAUUACAGAAUCUACCACAUUAUAUAUCUGAUCUCUAAAUUGGCCUUAGUAUAAAUGUUCCAAGUACAUUCUCAUGACUAAGAAAAGAAUGAUAUUUUUAAUUGAAUACCUACCCUCAAAUCUUGAAAGAAGCAUGAAUUGGGACAGGACAAAAAUGUCAACACAAAAGUACUUAUAUGAGUUAUUUAGUAUACAGCUGUCUGUUCACUUGUAGAAUCCAUUUGAAAUUUAUGUUCAGAGAAAUUGGGAGAUGUGAGUAAAUAUGGGGGGAGAUUGGUGUGUAAAUUUGGUGAGUUUUUAUAAAAAAAUAAAAAUUUAGAAAACUUUCAAAGCAAAAUAAAACCUGUUCCACCCACAAAUGAUGGAUGUCACUGAUCCCCUAUUACACACCAGGCAUAAUACCCAUUACACACCUGGUCCUCUUCCUUAUAUCCAGCUUGCUUUCUCUCCAAAUUUCAGUGUAGUUACUCUUGACUUUGCCUUUGUUCUCCCCUCCUCCUUCUCACUUCUGCCGAGGCACAGUUAUGUCCACUAAACCAGAUGGGCAAAGAUUUCAUACUGACACCACCACACUCUGUUAAAUUGUUAAAAAUCCUAUUUUGGCUUUUGUUUGCUUACUUAGAUUUGUACCCCCGAGGUGAUGAAAAGAGCACAGAUAGAAUCUAGAGACAAAUAGGAUCUGGAGUCAGGAAUCAGAUCCAGAUUCUAACACAAGGUCAUAUGGGGAAAAGUCAGCUAAAAUUUCUGGGAUUCAAUUUACUCAUCUAUAAAACCAUCCUCAUAAUAAUUGCUCCCCCCUUCAAAGGACUGUUAUGAGGAGCAAGUGGAAAAAUAUCUAUUAACAGACUCUGAUGUCAGUAGAUUAAUGCAUAAAUCCAGGUAUUAUUAUAUAAUCAAAAUGUUCUUUUAAAUGUAGAAGAAAGGGUUUUUAAGGCACACAUGAGAUUCUGGAAACAGAGACAUUAUAGAAAGUCUAUAGGGACUAAAAAUGCAUUUUCUUCUACAUGCAUUUCUCUUGCCGGAGGUAAAUGCAGCCCUUUGGGGGAUGCUGCUCUGGCCAGGACCGUGGUGGAGAGCUCUGACUCUUGACUGUGAGAGUUCAAACGAUUCAGAAAAGACAGGAGGGAAACUUCAAGGUCAGGUGACUUCUUUCUAACUGCAGCAGGUUCUCAGAUCCUUGGGCUGGCCCAUGAUGAGAGAACAGUCAGCAAAGAGUCUGGCACAGUAAGCCUAAGUCUCAGUGUCAUCUGAUUGUGAAAUCUGCUUGUUUGCAUACUCAUACAGUACCAGAGCUUAAGCCCUGGCCACUAUACAGAUGAACGUGCAAGAGCAGGAUCUAAGACCAAGGGGUUGUUUGGCCUACAGAAGAAAAAUUCAUUAGAGUUACUUCAAGGAAAUCUAUUGAAUAAUCUCACCAAAUACAUUAAUGCCAUCAAUUAUUGUGUUUCACGUAUUUUUUUUUUUACACCAGAUACACAGUAUAUUGAAGAAUUUGUGAAAGUCCCCUAUGUGAGUCAGUAUUAACCAUGAUAGGAGUAAUCAGGACUGGCCCAAGAAAGAAAGCAAUGAGAAUUUAUAAAUUGGUCCAAUUCUCACCACAGUUGCUUGAAGAAAAUUGAAAUGAAAGAAGCCAAAAAGGGAUUUAUGAAUAUUUUUUAAAGCUUAAAAAGCCCACAUACUUAUCAUUGAAUUGUCUGCUUAUGAUAGGAGCUGGAAGAGUCCCUUAUAUCCACUCAACUGUACUUACAUUUUAAAUGGUUGUUUUCCUUUCUCUUACACUACUGCAAGAGAAAGGAAAUGCCUAGGCAAAUAAACUCUGUUAAAAUAACUUUACGGUUGUGACACAGUUUGACAAAAGCAAAGGAAAUUCAGAGUCACUGCUCACACUCUAUCCUCAGCUGAUUCCAACUGUGGAAAAUAAAGUGCUUAAAAAAAAAAAA